UACGUAGGGGGCAAGCGUUGCCCGGAAUCAUUGGGCGUAAAGCGCGCGUAGGCGGCCAGAUAAGUCCGGUGUGAAAGUCACAGGCUCAACCUGUGAAUGCCGCUGGAAACUGUCUGGCUUGAGUCCGGAAGAGGAGAGUGGAAUUCCUGGUGUAGCGGUGAAAUGCGCAGAUAUCAGGAAGAACACCCGUGGCGAAGGCGGCUCUCUGGGACGUGACUGACGCUGAGACGCGAAAGCGUGGGGAGCAAACAGG
rnacentral:rRNA from 1 species